GCCGGCCACGCAGGAAGAAAUGGCUUCCCACGCCCACAGCAGCCUCCCCGCUACUGAAAACUGGUCAAGAAGGCCACGUUUUUGUUAUUGUUCUCUUUUUCCCACAAGUAAAGUGUAGUUUUCCUGCAGCGGCAUGACGCCCCUUCCAGGACAGCAAAGCGAGGUGAAACCGGCAAGGCUGUGUGACCGCGUCCGGCUGACGGCGAGAGUCCGCGUCCAGCGCCAGCCCCGCUCCCGCCCCACCCGAAGAGCAGCUUCCCACAGGUGCGGACGCCAGCUGUGCUGUCCUGGCAAACCUGCUGAGAUCCGGACAACAUAAGGCUCCGAAAGGCAUUCUGCCGUGGACUGCGGCAUUGGUCGCCAAACUACAACGUUCUCGCUCUCUUCCUAGCACUAGGACUUGGAGCACUGGUUCCCAGCCCCACAGCCUCUGCCAUUUAAAACUUAGCAUAAAAGGCAAUAUCACAGUAUCUGGCAAAUGGCACUGACUCACAUCCUAAUUAAUCCUGUAAACUACUUUACUGUGCUCUGCUUCAAAUCCUGCAUGUCCAAACCAGCCCGAAGUUACUUGCGGUGUCUGCAUUUGAAGGUAAGCGGAGACUCUCUCCUUCUUGGAACACUAAGUAGCCGUCCUUUCUGCCCUGCUGGGAAAAAAAGACCCAAACUCUGGAAUUACCUAGAAAGCUCUGCAUGUGACCCGUCCUGCCUUUCUGCACAGCUGCUCAGCUGGGACAACAGUCUGCCCUUUGGCCCGGCUCCAGACCACACCUGUCAGAGCUGACCCGGGGGAGGUGGCUGAGUAGAAAGCUUUCCUGAGCUACUCCUUCCCAGUUGUCACAGAGCCAAGAACACUUCUGUGCCCAGGAGGCUGCCACCCACCGCUUUCUGCUCAUUGCAAGGCCGACUCCCCUUGCCGCGGGCCGCAGGGCUGAGCGUCCGUGUGAGGGCCGAGAGGCCCCGGGCAGCGCGCUCACCGGCUCUCUUCUUCUGUCUGGUCCUACCUGAAGUUACUUACCAGCACUAAUGAAACUUGUGCCACGAAAUCUUCAGCAACACACCAGCACAGGCUCCGAAGGGUCAUGGUGGCCAUUUGCUGCAACGUGGGAGCACAGGGCCUGUGCCAGGGCCACCCUUUAGAUCUGGGCCGGGAGAUCUAGGGGCGCUGGGGAGGGCCGCCCAGGGCACAGAAGUGGGCUGUAGGGCGGGGCCCACAACUAACUGCCACUGGCCUGAAAGUGUGGCUAUGUUUGAAGUGUCUCUGUGGCCUUACUGGGAAGGACGUGGGAAAUUUUAGCAGCCCUGACUCUUUCCCGGCCUCUAUUCUCCUCCCCCUUUAACCCCCUUCCAUUCAAAGGUAUCUGCCGGGCAACUGAAAUGAUCCGGGAGCUCCGCAGAGGACUAGAUGACGGAAGACCAGUGAGCACGUCCUUGCCUAUGCUCACGGGUGGAUAGAGGACACUCUCCCCGUGCAGCAGGGCGGGCGCCGAGCGUGGACCACACGUGGUCCUCAGUCACCGCCACUCUGGAAGUGAAGGCCAUGCGUGAGGACCGGACCUCACAGGUUGGCUCAGCUGAAGCCAGGAAAGGGCGAGCUGGCCAGGAGGGGUUUCCUGAGUGCAGAGCUGAGGCAGCCUGGGGGCACCGGUGGGCCCAACAGGUGACAAACGCAGGGAAGAGCAUUCCGAGGGGCUUCCCCAGGGCUGGGCAGUAAAGGGCGCACGGACCGAUGCUCAUCAACUGGGCCACCUGGAGUGUGAGGCCUGCGGGGUGGGGAAAAUGAGCCUGAGGACAUAGGCAGGGGGCAACUCAGGAAGGGUUUUGUAGCACUUCAGAGACUUUCCCCCCCAAUUUUUUUACAGUGGUAAUAAAAAUACACAUGACGUAAA